rnacentral:misc_RNA from 1 species
UCCGGUUCCUCACCGGCAGUCUCCCUGGAGUCCCCAACUUUACUUGCUGGUAACCAGGGACAGGGGUUGCGCUCGUUACGGGACUUAACCCAACAUCUCACAACACGAGCUGACGACAGCCAUGCAGCACCUGUCUCACGGUUCCUCUCGGCACUUCCGCAUCUCUGCAGAAUCCCGUGGAUGUCAAGAGCAGGUAAGGUUCUUCGCGUUGCAUCGAAUUAAACCACAUGCUCCACCGCUUGUGCGGGCCCCCGUCAAUUCCUUUGAGUUUUAGCCUUGCGGCCGUACUCCCCAGGCGGAGAACUUAUCGCGUUAGCUUCGAUACCAGCAGGUCUUACCCACCAACAUCCAGUUCUCAUCGUUUACAGCGUGGACUAC